rnacentral:rRNA from 1 species
GACGAACCGAGCGAACGUUGUUCGGAAUCACUGGGCUUAAAGGGCGCGUAGGCGGGGUCAUAAGUCUGUGGUGAAAUCCCUCGGCUUAACCGGGGAACUGCGUCUGAUACUGGAUGGCUUGAGAUUGGGAGAGGGAUGCGGAAUUCCAGGUGUAGCGGUGAAAUGCGUAGAUAUCUGGAGGAACACCGGUGGCGAAGGCGGCAUCCUGGACCAACACUGACGCUGAGGAGCGAAAGCCAGGGGAGCAAACGGG